UACGUAGGUGGCAAGCGUUAAUCGGAAUUACUGGGCGUAAAGCGUGCGCAGGCGGCUUUGCAAGACAGAUGUGAAAUCCCCGGGCUUAACCUGGGAACUGCAUUUGUGACUGCAUGGCUGGAGUGCGGCAGAGGGAGGUGGAAUUCCACGUGUAGCAGUGAAAUGCGUAGAGAUGUGGAGGAACACCGAUGGCGAAGGCAGCCUCCUGGGCCAGCACUGACGCUCAUGCACGAAAGCGUGGGGAGCAAACAGG
rnacentral:rRNA from 1 species